rnacentral:tmRNA from 1 species
GGGGGCGUCACGGCUUCGACGGGAUUGCUUGCGGUAAAGAGGCAUGCCGGGGUGUGGACACCCGUAAUCGCUCACAAAAACACAAGUGCCGAACCUCAAUUCGCACUCGCUGCUUAAUUAAAUAAGUAGCCGAUCACUCGGGCUUUGCCUAUGGGCCCGUACUGGUCGUCGCACAGUAGGCUGGUCUGCGGUGCCCCGCCUGAGCGCCAAGGAUGAGAUCGAUCAGGCUGGUGACUGACGCGUCUUCGCCCAUUUUUAGCGUCAGUUACGAGACAAAUGUGAACUGGGAAAAGCAUGAAUGCUCUUUACUGACUGUAGUUUCGGACGUGGGUUCGACUCCCACCGCCUCCACCA